rnacentral:rRNA from 1 species
AACGAACGCUGGCGGCAGGCUUAACACAUGCAAGUCGAGCGCCCCGCAAGGGGAGCGGCAGACGGGUGAGUAACGCGUGGGAACGUGCCCUUUGGUUCGGAACAACUCCGGGAAACUGGAGCUAAUACCGGAUAAGCCCUUCGGGGGAAAGAUUUAUCGCCAAAGGAUCGGCCCGCGUCUGAUUAGCUAGUUGGUGAGGUAAUGGCUCACCAAGGCGACGAUCAGUAGCUGGUCUGAGAGGAUGAGCAGCCACACUGGGACUGAGACACGGCCCAGACUCCUACGGGAGGCAGCAGUGGGGAAUAUUGGACAAUGGGCGCAAGCCUGAUCCAGCCAUGCCGCGUGAGUGAUGAAGGCCUUAGGGUUGUAAAGCUCUUUUGUCCGGGAAGGUAAUGACUGUACCGGAAGAAUAAGCCCCGGCUAACUUCGUGCCAGCCGCCGCGGUAACAC